GACGAACGCUGGCGGCGUGCUUAACACAUGCAAGUCGAGCGGUAAGGCCCUUUCGGGGGUACACGAGCGGCGAACGGGUGAGUAACACGUGGGUGACCUGCCCUUAGCUCUGGGAUAAGCCUGGGAAACUGGGUCUAAUACCGGAUAUGACUCCAUGACGCAUGUUGUGGGGUGGAAAGCCUUGUGCGGCUAGGGAUGGGCCCGCGGCCUAUCAGCUUGUUGGUGGGGUGAUGGCCACCAAGGCGACGACGGGUAGCCGGCCUGAGAGGGCGACCGGCCACACUGGGACUGAGACACGGCCCAGACUCCUACGGGAGGCAGCAGUGGGGAAUCUUNCGCAAUGGGCGAAAGCCUGACGCAGCGACGCCGCGUGAGGGAUGACGGCCUCGGUU
rnacentral:rRNA from 1 species